rnacentral:rRNA from 1 species
GAUGAACGCUAGCGGCAGGCCUAAUACAUGCAAGUCGAACGGUGUAGCAAUACACAGUGGCGCACGGGUGCGUAACACGUAUGCAACCUACCUUACAUUGGGGGAUAGCCUUUCGAAAGGGAGAUUAAUACCGCAUAAGACAGUAACUAGGCAUCUAGUAGCUGUUAAAGAUUUAUCGAUGUAAGCUGGGCAUGCGUCCAAUUAGUUAGUUGGUGAGGUAACGGCUCACCAAGACGAUGAUUGGUAGGGGAACUGAGAGGUCAAUCCCCCACACUGGCACUGGGAUACGGGCCAGACUCCUACGGGAGGCAGCAGUAGGGAAUAUUGGGCAAUGGGCGCAAGCCUGACCCAGCCAUGCCGCGUGCAGGAAGAAGGCGUUAUGCGUUGUAAACUGCUUUUAUACAGGAAGAAACGACCCUUGCGAGGGGCAUUGGCGGUACUGUAUGAAUAAGCACCGGCUAACUCCGUGCCAGCCGCCGCCGUAAGAC